GGAUCGAUACAGAGAAGAUUAGCAUGGCCCCUGCGAAAGGAUGACACGCAAAUCCGUGAAGCGCUCCAUAUUUUA
rnacentral:snRNA from 1 species